rnacentral:rRNA from 1 species
GACAGAGGUGCCAAGCGUUAGGCGGAAUCACUGGGCUUAAAGCGUGUGUAGGUGGAUGCCUAAGUACCUUGUGAAAUCCCACGGCUCAACCGUGGAACUGCUCGGUAUACUGGGUGUCUUGAGCCACUUAGGGGCUACCGGAACAAAUGGUGGAGCGGUGAAAUGCGUAGAUAUCAUUGGAACGCCAAUGGUGAAAACAGGUAGCUGGGAGUGUGCUGACACUGAGACACGAAAGCCAGGGGAGGCGAACGGG